rnacentral:snoRNA from 1 species
AACCCAUGGUGAGGGCACUUUCUCAGUAAGUUCUUGUAUCUCUCCUAUGCAUCGUAAAGGGUUUCUAUAUCCAUCUACACAAAAGAUGAGAUAUCAUUAUGUAAUU